rnacentral:tRNA from 1 species
GUCUCGGAUAGCUUAAACGGUAGAGCCUUUAAUGAUAGAGCCUUUGGCGUGUAACCAAAUGAUCCAGGUUCGAGUCCCAGUCUGGGCU